rnacentral:rRNA from 1 species
UACGUAGGGUGCAAGCGUUGCCCGGAUUUAUUGGGCGUAAAGGGCGCGCAGGCGGCUACGCACGUCCGUUGUGAAAUCGCUCGGCUCAACUGGGCGGGGUCGGCGGAUACGGCGUAGCUGGAGCAAGCUAGGGGGCAAUGGAAUUCCCGGUGUAGUGGUGGAAUGCGUAGAUAUCGGGAGGAACACCGGUGGCGAAGGCGCCUAUCUGGCCCGAUACUGACGCUGAGGCGCGAAAGCUAGGGGAGCAAACGGG